rnacentral:rRNA from 1 species
GAUGAACGCUGGCGGCGUGCCUAAUACAUGCAAGUCGAGCGAACAGACGAGGAGCUUGCUCCUCUGACGUUAGCGGCGGACGGGUGAGUAACACGUGGAUAACCUACCUAUAAGACUGGGAUAACUUCGGGAAACCGGAGCUAAUACCGGAUAACAUGUUGAACCGCAUGGUUUAACAGUGAAAGACGGUCUUGCUGUCACUUAUAGAUGGAUCCGCGCCGCAUUAGCUAGUUGGUAAGGUAACGGCUUACCAAGGCAACGAUGCGUAGCCGACCUGAGAGGGUGAUCGGCCACACUGGAACGGAGACACGGUCCAGACUCCUACGGGAGGCAGCAUUAGGGAAUCUUCGGCAAUGGGCGAAAGCCUGACGGAGCAACGCCGCGUGAGUGAAGAAGGUCUUCGGAUCGUAAAACUCUGUUAUUAGGGAAGAACAAAUGUGUAAGUAACUAUGCACGUCUUGACGGUACCUAAUCAGAAAGCCACGGCUAACUACGUG